GAUGAACGCUGGCGGCGUGCCUAAUACAUGCAAGUCGAGCGAACGGACGAGAAGCUUGCUUCUCUGAUGUUAGCGGCGGACGGGUGAGUAACACGUGGAUAACCUACCUAUAAGACUGGGAUAACUUCGGGAAACCGGAGCUAAUACCGGAUAAUAUUUUGAACCGCAUGGUUCAAAAGUGAAAGACGGUCUUGCUGUCACUUAUAGAUGGAUCCGCGCUGCAUUAGCUAGUUGGUAAGGUAACGGCUUACCAAGGCAACGAUGCAUAGCCGACCUGAGAGGGGGAUUCGCCACACUGGAACUGAGACACGGUCCAGACUCCUACGGGAGGCAGCAGUAGGGAAUCUUCCGCAAUGGGCGAAAGCCUGACGGAGCAACGCCGCGUGAGUGAUGAAGGUCUUCGGAUCGUAAAACUCUGUUAUUAGGGAAGAACAUAUGUGUAAGUAACUGUGCACAUCUUGACGGUACCUAAUCAGAAAGCCACGGCUAACUACGUG
rnacentral:rRNA from 1 species